AUAGUAUUACCUCCGUCCGAAAUUAGUUGUCUUGGAUUUGUCCAGAUACAGAUGUAUCUACAGAUGUAUCUAACACUUAAAUUGUGUCUAGAUACAUCUGUAUGACAAAUCUAAGACAACUAAUUUGGGACGGAGAGAGUAUCAA
rfam:Hordeum vulgare subsp. vulgare, WGS project CAJW01000000 data, contig: morex_contig_158488